GGACGGGGAAAAAUAGCCUUCCCAAAAACGCUGCGUCAUUAACACCAAAAUCCCUCAGUCAGUCCAAUCUCCUAAUCCACUGAACUCCGCUUUCUGGCAAAUUGAUACUACAAAAGCAUCCCGGAUUGAGUAUUCGAAGAGACGCCCAAGACAGAUAACACAUGUAUUCGAAACAUGACAACUGUAUCUAAAAGGUGAUUAUAUAUUCCGCAAUUUCCAUGUAUAGAAGAGUCCUCCAUGGAUGGGUUCAACAAGUAGAUGAAAACUUCUAUAGACAAACAUGACAUAGUAAGUUAAAAUUUCUCCAUUGUUCACACCUCUGUAACCAUUAUUUGUUGUCCUUUGUAAUGGAACGGACAUCCCAAAAAUAAUAUCCCUGAAACACAGAUUGGUAUGGGAGUCACGUACACCAACUGUUUGAUUCAUUUACUUGGUAUAAGUUUCAGUACAGGUGAUGCCACAUAUGAGUGGCCCUUGCAGAUUUUCUCUUACUGUAUUUGGCGUCUUUGCAUUGGAUAUUAACGUUACAAGAAAACAAGAAAGGGAGAGAAUGGUUUCUCUUUUAAAGAAAAUGAAGUUUGGCACUUUGAUCUUAUGAAAGGGGAAUACAUCCAUCAGGCUACGAAAAGCAAAUAGGCGGUUGGCUUGAGGAUGGAAACGUUGGCAAGGAACAAUCAUGCCAACGUAAAACAUAUCCGCUCCAUCCCUUCUCUGCAGAUUAUCUAUUCCAAGCUAAAUCAUAUCUUGGGGGCCCAAACUUCCGUAAAAAUACUGUAAAUUUGUUAACCCUUUUCUAAAUAAUGCAACUUUCUUGGUCACAUAAAAUGCAUAUGCAUAUGUCUUGUGUUUUAGUGUAGAAUAUGGACUUAUGGGUGUUAAUUCCACUGAAUUUUCGUUCUUGCCAUUUGAUAAAAGAAAGAA